GUGCUUACUUCACCAGGACUUAUACUAAAAUUGGAAUGAUUCUGAGAAGAUUAGCAUGACCUCUGCAUAAAGAUGAUGCACAAAUUCAUGAAAAGUUCCAUAAUUUU
rnacentral:snRNA from 1 species